rnacentral:ncRNA from 1 species
UCGAGCUUCGGAGGCAUACGACCCGGAGCUCAUCGGUAUCUUAUUGAUACCUCUAAUUUACUUAGCAGACCCUCGCUAUGUAAUUUAGAACCUCUUCUACACGUCGACAAGAUUUAUCUUGUGUUGCCAGCCCGUCUUCAGGCUGGCUUUUUUUUUG